ACCGUCUUAGCUCAGCUGGUAGAGCACAUGACUUUUAACCAUGUGAUCGUGGGUUCGAUUUCCCACAGACGACA